AUGGCUGAGGCCUUCAAGUACACAGGUGAUUGCCUGUUACAGCUGUUUUGCAAAGUGGGAGUCAAAAUGUUUAUGAAGGUCACCAUUAAAAAUACCGUACAAGAAGCAUGGACAACAGUGCUAAAUAAUACUGAGAAGAAAGGAGCCAAACAAGGAACAGAAAGCAACGGCUGCAGAAAAGCGAGAAAACAGAAAUGCAGCCAUCAGAAGCAGAACUCGGUUGUGGAGACUCACUUUAGACACCAGCUCCUCUGGCUGCUGCUCACCUGGGUCAUCUGCCACAGCCCCAGACCUGGCUGUAAGGUCCUUGGCACUCUCUGUCUGAGAAUUUGGGUAGACUGGAAAACAGGACAGGUCAUCAUCCCAUCCCCGUAGCUGAACCUGGAGAAUGGGGCCGGUGGGGUACGUGGAGUAGAUAGGUAGACGGCAUCACAGACGAACCCCCUAAUCACCAGUCCCAAAUAUUAUGUCACAACCCCCUAAUGAGGAUUAUCCAGAUGAGUCCCAGGUAAUCAGAGACUGCUGUUAACAUUAAAGUGAUUCCUGGGACUGAAACUCACUGUACCAAAUGAACUAAAAUGGCUGGUAUUAAUAAACUGACAAAUGCAAAUAAAAGAACA
rnacentral:lncRNA from 1 species